CUCGCCGUGGGCUGGAUGGUCCGCGGCGCCGACGGCCCCGUCGAACGGCGCGACCCGGUGCAGGUGCCGGCGUUCGUCGCCGAGGAGAGC
rnacentral:tRNA from 1 species